rnacentral:rRNA from 1 species
GAUGAACGCUGGCGGCGUACCUAAUACAUGCAAGUCGAGCGAACAGACGAGGAGCUUGCUCCUCUGACGUUAGCGGCGGACGGGUGAGUAACACGUGGAUAACCUACCUAUAAGACUGGGAUAACUUCGGGAAACCGGAGCUAAUACCGGAUAAUAUAUUGAACCGCAUGGUUCAAUAGUGAAAGACGGUUUUGCUGUCACUUAUAGAUGGAUCCGCGCCGCAUUAGCUAGUUGGUAAGGUAACGGCUUACCAAGGCGACGUUGCGUAGCCGACCUGAGAGGGUGAUCGGCCACACUGGAACUGAGACACGGUCCAGACUCCUACGGGAGGCAGCAGUAGGGAAUCUUCCGCAAUGGGCGAAAGCCUGACGGAGCAACGCCGCGUGAGUGAUGAAGGUCUUCGGAUCGUAAAACUCUGUUAUUAGGGAAGAACAAAUGUGUAAGUAACUAUGCACGUCUUGACGGUACCUAAUCAGAAAGCCACGGCUAACUACGUG